CAGAAAACAACCCCAUUCCAAGAGCUCCGUGAGUCCCAGACUAAAUGUUCACAGAAAUGCUCUAAUCCUGGAUGUUAAAUUUCAUCCAGAUUUCAGUGAUGCUGGCAGUGAUGAGUUUGACUCUGACUCGUCCCUUGUUAAAUCUGUCCUACCUUUCUGACCUCAGCCCCAUCCUCAGCCCUCAGAAAAGUUUCCCUAGCC
rnacentral:lncRNA from 1 species